GCUUCUAAAGGAUAACAGCCCAU
rnacentral:tRNA from 1 species